GCCAAUAUCAUCUAAACCAAAAUCACAAUCAAAGUUGACUUCAAUUCGUGCACUCAGAAAGUUUAAUUAAUUGAUAUGAGAAAUCACUCCUCAAGCUUUGCACCUUGGUGCUAAAGUCUAGCUGAUGCCCCAUCGCCGCCGACGUCUUCAUCCCGCUCGGAGUUGAUUUCGACGAGACCCCGUUUCGGCUAUGGCUCGAAGAAGAUGCUACCUUUUGAUAAACCAUGCCCUUCGAUCCGUCCACAUAUCCUUGACCACAAACUGCGCAAUUGCUCCAAAAGCAGAGGCAAAUC
rnacentral:lncRNA from 1 species